GACGAACGCUGGCGGCGUGCUUAACACAUGCAAGUCGAACGGAAAGGCCCUGCUUUUGUGGGGUGCUCGAGUGGCGAACGGGUGAGUAACACGUGAGUAACCUGCCCUUGACUUUGGGAUAACUUCAGGAAACUGGGGCUAAUACCGGAUAGGAGCUCCUGCUGCAUGGUGGGGGUUGGAAAGUUUCGGCGGUUGGGGAUGGACUCGCGGCUUAUCAGCUUGUUGGUGGGGUAGUGGCUUACCAAGGCUUUGACGGGUAGCCGGCCUGAGAGGGUGACCGGCCACAUUGGGACUGAGAUACGGCCCAGACUCCUACGGGAGGCAGCAGUGGGGAAUAUUGCACAAUGGGCGGAAGCCUGAUGCAGCAACGCCGCGUGCGGGAUGACGGCCUUCGGGUUGUAAACCGCUUUCGCCUGUGACGAAGCGUGAGUGACGGUAAUGGGUAAAGAAGCACCGGCUAACUACGUGCCAGCAGCCGCGGUGAUACGUAGGGUGCGAGCGUUGUCCGGAUUUAUUGGGCGUAAGGGCUCGUAGGUGGUUGAUCGCGUCGGAAGUGUAAUCUUGGGGCUUAACCCUGAGCGUGCUUUCGAUACGGGUUGACUUGAGGAAGGUAGGGGAGAAUGGAAUUCCUGGUGGAGCGGUGGAAUGCGCAGAUAUCAGGAGGAACACCAGUGGCGAAGGCGGUUCUCUGGGCCUUUCCUGACGCUGAGGAGCGAAAGCGUGGGGAGCGAACAGGCUUCGAUACCCUGGUAGUCCACGCUGUAAACGGUGGGUACUAGGUGUGGGGUCCAUUCCACGGGUUCCGUGCCGUAGCUAACGCUUUAAGUACCCCGCCUGGGGAGUACGGCCGCAAGGCUAAAACUCAAAGGAAUUGACGGGGCCCCGCACAAGCGGCGGAGCAUGCGGAUUAAUUCGAUGCAACGCGUAGAACCUUACCUGGGUUUGACAUGGAUCGGGAGUGCUCAGAGAUGGGUGUGCCUCUUUUGGGGUCGGUUCACAGGUGGUGCAUGGCUGUCGUCAGCUCGUGUCGUGAGAUGUUGGGUUAAGUCCCGCAACGAGCGCAACCCUUGUUCACUGUUGCCAGCACGUUAUGGUGGGGACUCAGUGGAGACCGCCGGGGUCAACUCGGAGGAAGGUGGGGAUGACGUCAAGUCAUCAUGCCCCUUAUGUCCAGGGCUUCACGCAUGCUACAAUGGCUGGUACAGAGAGUGGCGAGCCUGUGAGGGUGAGCGAAUCUCGGAAAGCCGGUCUCAGUUCGGAUUGGGGUCUGCAACUCGACCUCAUGAAGUCGGAGUCGCUAGUAAUCGCAGAUCAGCAACGCUGCGGUGAAUACGUUCCCGGGGCU
rnacentral:rRNA from 1 species